rnacentral:lncRNA from 1 species
AUUCCAUUAUUUGGAAUCAUGAAGUUUAUUCAUGCUUGAGAAAAUCAAGAAAAUCAAGAAAAUGGUUGAAAAUCAAAGAAAAUAGUGAAAACCUGUGCCGGAAGGAAAACGGCAGCAAGAGUGUGUUAGAAUAUAGAUUUUAUGCCUAAAAAAAGAUCUAAAGAUGGAUUUUUCAAAGCUGGGGAUGUUUAGUUGAAAGAUGGUUCAAAACUUCAAUUUAAAACAGUAAAUUCUCAAUCAAAGAGGUAAGUAAGGGAGAAGGUGUAUGUAGCAAGGUAACCAUGAUGGAGGGGAGUUGGGAGGUUUGGCUGUGACCGCAUUACUGGUGAUUGCAGGUGUUGCUGUUAUUUUCUCUAAAUUUUCCCUUUCUACUCUGGUUGCAUGCAUUCAAGCACCAUACACCGCUGCAUUCCGGGCCUUUUCUGAUUCUUUGAAAUUCCCUAUAUGCGGACUUACUUCCAAGAGCUUUGGCAUUAAUUCCCCAUAUGAAUCUCUGAAAUUUGCUGAGAAAUUUAGUCUUUCUGGACUGCCAUUUCUGAUAACUAGAGCACUUCAUAUUCAUCUACCAAAAUAACCACCAUUUUGCCAACCGAUUUUAAUAUUGGAGAGAGUAGAAGCUGAAGCUUUUUGGUCUUCUGUGGUCAGAAGAAGGAUGCCUGCAUUUCAGGAAUACAACUUUAAACAAUUCCUAAUAAGACAUUCUUGUACCAGCCACUGUAUCAUUUUUUGAUAUCUUCUUUCCCCAUAUUUCUGAAUUUAAAUUCUGGGAUCCCAUGCGAAGUUUCAUUGGAUACGAAUAUUUCUGACAGGUAGCCUAACUCCGACAUGUAAUAACUUUGAUGAAUUCUGGGUUCGCAUCUGGUGUGGAAAUGUAUAGAAGAAAGAAUCUCUUAUAUUAACAUCUAGAUUCUGUUUCUAUUGUCAACUUGCUCGUAGUUAAAUUUCUUCAAUUGAAUACUCGCAUCCUGAUUGAUAUUCUGAUGUUCGAUUUCCCGAGUAACUUUUCAUUCUUCAAGCAUAUCAAAUUGCCUAUGGUCAGAAAUUAACCUUCAGUCAAUAAGAUUCAGCAAUUUCUUU